rnacentral:rRNA from 1 species
GAUGAACGUUGGCGGCGUGCCUAAUACAUGCAAGUCGAACGAAGACUGUAGUAAUACUGUCUUAGUGGCGAACGGGUGAGUAACGCGUGGGUGACCUGCCCCGAAGUGUGGGAUAACAGUCCGAAAGGAUUGCUAAUACUGCAUAAUAUCCAAGAGAUUAGAUGCUUUUGGAUUAAAGGAGUAAUUCGCUUCGGGAGGGGCCCGCGUCCCAUCAGCUAGUUGGUAAGGUAAUAGCUUACCAAGGCGAUGACGGGUAGGGGACCUGAGAGGGUGGCCCCCCACAAUGGAACUGAAACACGGUCCAUACACCUACGGGUGGCAGCAGUAGGGAAUAUUAGUAAUGGGCGAAAGCCUGAACUAGCAACGCCGCGUGUGCGAAGAAGGCCUUCGGGUCGUAAAGCACUUUUUGAGAGGAUGAGGAAGGACGGUACUCUCAGAAUAAGUCUCGGCUAACUACGUGCCAGCAGCCCGCGUAAAGUAGUGUGUACUGAGACGUGCCGAACGACGACACAGGG